CACGCCGUAAACGAUGCUAACUCGUUUUUGGGGCUUUACGCUUCAGAGACCAAGCGAAAGUGAUAAGUUAGCCACCUGGGGAGUACGUUCGCAAGAAUGAAACUCAAAGGAAUUGACGGGGGCCCGCACAAGCGGUGGAUUAUGUGGUUUAAUUCGAUGAUACGCGAGGAACCUUACCAAGACUUAAAUGGGAAAUGACAGGUUUAGAAAUAGAUCCUUCUUCGGACAUUUUUCAAGGUGC
rnacentral:rRNA from 1 species